CCGAGUUUACAACUCCCAAACCCCUGUGAACAUACCUUAUCGUUGCCUCGGCGGAUCAGCCCGGCGCCCUCGGGAAACGGAUCAGGCCGCCGCAGGAAACCCCUAAACUCUGUAUUCUUUAGUGAUCUUCUGAGUAUAACAAGCAAAUAAAUCA
rnacentral:misc_RNA from 1 species